GUUAUAGGUUACUAGCUGCAGGGUGGACUGGUUAUAGGUUACUAGCUGCAGGGUGGACUGGUUAUAGGUUACUAGCUGCAGGGUGGACUGGUUAUAGGUUACUAGCUGCAGGGUGGACUGGUUAUAGGUUACUAGCUGCAGGGUGGACUGGCUAUAGGUUACUAGCUGCAGGGUGGACUGGCUAUAGGUUGCUAGCUGCAGGGUGGACUGGUUAUAGGUUGCUAGCUGCAGGGUGGACUGGUUAUAGGUUGCUAGCUGCAGGGUGGACUGGCUAUAGGUUACUAGCUGCAGGGUGGACUGGCGAUAGGUUGCACGCACGCAGGCAGGCAACAGUAACAUAGACCAGUAACAUGCCACAGUGGAGCCCAGGGGGAUUUAGGGGGAUUCAUUUGGGAGGGUUUUUACAGCUGUUGUCUGCACAUUUAACGGCAAAAC
ensembl:lncRNA